AAUCAGGUUGAUGGAAAAAUUGUUCCCUGUAAGAAGAUGCAGUAACUCUUUCAUGCCACUAGGGUAUUAAUAUUAGGGGGAAAGAAGCAACUGAUUAGAAUCCCAGAAGAGCUGUUAAAUCCCAGGAGAGAAUCAGAUGCAAAGAGGCUGGGGAGCAUUGGAGAGCAAAUAGAAUAUUUAAUGAAGAUUACUAUCUCUGUCACAACAUGAGUGCAGAAGCAUCUUCAGUUGGAGAGCCAUUGCCUCUUGCUGUGAAAUAUUUGGGAAUCUUCAGAAACCAUGAAGAAUAACCUGCUAAAGGGUUUUAUUUUGUCAGUCAAGCUGGAAUGCAGUGGCGUGAACAUUGCUUACUGCAGCUUCAAUCUCCUGAGGUCAAACAAUCUUCUCACCUCAGCCUCGCAAGCAGCUAGGACUACAGGCAUGUGCCACCACGCCCCACUAAUUUUUUAAUUUUUCUUUUGUGGAGACGCAGUCUUGUUAUCUUGAACAGGCUGGUCUUGAACUCUUGGAGUCAAGCAAUCCUUCUGCCUCAGACUCUCAAAGUGCUGGGAUUACAGGCAUGAGCCACCACAUUCAGCCAGGAAAAGUUUUUGUACAUUUAAAAAAUUAUAGGAUAUUUGUGUAUAUAGCUUUGCUGGUUUGACUUCCUAGAAUAGCUCCCAGGAACACAAAGUACUUAAUUGAUUAGUAUAAAAUGAUUAUGUCAUACUCACAUGUUGGUUUUCUAAAUGCACUUAAUUUUUCUGAUUAAGAACUGAAAACUAUGCUGACCAGGGACACUGUAGACCUGUGGCUCAUUUUUGCAUAAAGGUUAUGUGUUUAUUGUCUGAUUUGGUCAUGCCUAUAGGCCAAUAGUGUUUUAUUUUGAAAUGUUUCAAACUUACAAUAAGGCACAAAAAUAAUAUAAUAGACACCAUGGUCUCAGCAUCCAGAUUUAAGAGAUGUUAAGAUGUUACUACGUUUGCUUCAGACUUUUCUAACACACACACAAAAUACUAGAGAUGCAGCCAAAACCCCAUCUAUCAAUCCCUUCCUCUUCUCUCCAGAGGUAGCUAUUACAUUGAAGUCGGUAUGUAAUAUUUCCAUGUUUGGCUUUGUACAUGUUCUACUUAUGUAUGUAUUCAUUAACUUCGUACUACUUUUUAAUGUUCUUAUAUAGUUUCAUUAGUAACAUCCCAGAGGGCAUAUCAUUUGUGAGUUUGAUUUUCUCACUCUUCAUUUCUUUUUUGGGGAUAAUUUAUUCUUGGUACAUGUAGAUCUCCUCACUCCACUACAAUUGCUUUAUGGUACUUAAUAUAUGAAUAAACUAUGGUAUAUUUAUU
rnacentral:lncRNA from 1 species